rnacentral:sRNA from 2 species
GUCGGGCGGACGCCGAAUCCUGCCGCCGCCCGGCUUCACCCGAGAGAACUUCGUACGGCAGGAGCGGGGGACCCAGGUAAGUCGCCGGGCCGGGCGUCUGCGGACGUGCCGGAACGGCUCGGGGUGAAGUCGCGCGCCUUCAGGGGCGUGCGGCCGGGCAGCUCCCGCCCGAACCCGACAGCUCACCUCGCAGGCGCCGGAGAGGAACUUC